rnacentral:rRNA from 1 species
AUUGAACGCUGGCGACAGGCUUAACACAUGCAAGUCGAGCGGGGAAAGGUAGCUUGCUACCUGACCUAGCGGCGGACGGGUGAGUAAUGCUUAGGAAUCUGCCUAUUAGUGGGGGACAACAUUCCGAAAGGAAUGCUAAUACCGCAUACGCCCUACGGGGGAAAGCAGGGGAUCUUCGGACCUUGCGCUAAUAGAUGAGCCUAAGUCAGAUUAGCUAGUUGGUGGGGUAAAGGCCUACCAAGGCGACGAUCUGUAGCGGGUCUGAGAGGAUGAUCCGCCACACUGGGACUGAGACACGGCCCAGACUCCUACGGGAGGCAGCAGUGGGGAAUAUUGGACAAUGGGCGAAAGCCUGAUCCAGCCAUGCCGCGUGUGUGAAGAAGGCCUUUUGGUUGUAAAGCACUUUAAGCGAGGAGGAGGCUACUUGGAUUAAUACUCUAGGAUAGUGGACGUUACUCGCAGAAUAAGCACCGGCUAACUCUGUGCCAGCCGCCGCCGUAAUAC